UGACACAGCUAGAACAAAGUUCCAAACCCUUGGACUUGCUGCAGGCGCUGUGCCUUCUGGACCAGGCUACCUUUACAGUCAGCACCACAAUAUAGCCUCACUGAAGUGGGAAAGCAUGUGAACAUCUCUUCCCAGUGUGGCCACAUUGGGGUGCCAUCCAAAUCCUUCACCCUGAACCGGGUGGUUUUCGCUCUUCCAGACUUUGUAAUAAAAAAACCUUGGAAAACGCUUUAUAGAGACACCACCUAUGGACCUGCCUACUCUAUAUCAAGACGUCAUACAACACUCCCCUGGCACUCACUGUGGGGAAGUUAGUCUCUGCUUCCAGAUUACU